AUCCAGCUGACGAGUCUCAAAUGGGACGGAACGGGAGUCCUGGAU
rfam:Schistosoma haematobium scaffold545_2, whole genome shotgun sequence.